rnacentral:rRNA from 1 species
AGCGAACGCUGGCGGCAGGCUUAACACAUGCAAGUCGAACGGGCAUAGCAAUAUGUCAGUGGCAGACGGGUGAGUAACGCGUGGGAACGUACCUUUUGGUUCGGAACAACACAGGGAAACUUGUGCUAAUACCGGAUAAGCCCUUACGGGGAAAGAUUUAUCGCCGAAAGAUCGGCCCGCGUCUGAUUAGCUAGUUGGUAGGGUAAUGGCCUACCAAGGCGACGAUCAGUAGCUGGCUGAGAGGAUGAUCAGCCACCAUUGGGACUGAGACACGGCCCAAACUCCUACGGGAGGCAGCAGUGGGGAAUAUUGGGACAAUGGGCGAAAGCCUGAUCCAGCCAUGCCGCGUGAGUGAUGAAGGCCCUAGGGUUGUAAAGCUCUUUUGUGCGGGAAGAUAAUGACGGUACCGCAAGAAUAAGCCCCGGCUAACUUCGUGCCAGCAGCCGC